rnacentral:lncRNA from 1 species
CAGGAAAUGAGAGGUCCUCAGGAGAUGCGGGGCAUGCAGGGGCCUCCACCACAGGGGUCAAUGUUGGGCCCUCCCCAGGAACUUCGAGGACCCUCAGGUUCACAGGGGCAGCAGGGGCCACCCCAGGGCUCUUUGGGACCUCCACCCCAGGGUGGCAUGCAAGGACCCCCUGGACCUCAGGGACAACAGAACCCGGCAAGAGGGCCACAUCCAUCUCAAGGGCCAAUACCAUUCCAGCAGCAGAAAGCACCUCUGCUAGGUGAUGGGCCCCGGGCCCCCUUCAAUCAGGAAGGACAGAGUACAGGUCCCCCACCCUUGAUACCAGGCCUAGGGCAACAGGGAGCACAAGGCCGCAUUCCUCCUCUGAACCCUGGACAAGGACCCGGCCCUAACAAAGGGACCAAAGGGAGAAGGGAGAGACAUGCAAGUGGCCUACCAUCCCCUCCUGGAUUAGUUGCCACCACCACCACAUCACCGUUUGUAGUGGUGACUCUCGAGGCCCUCCCAACCAUCACCUGGGCCCCAUGUCAGAGAGGCGGCAUGAGCAGAGCGGUGGUCCUGAGCAUGGUCCUGACAGGGGACCUUUCCGGGGUGGCCAGGACUGCAGGGGUCCUCCUGACAGGCGUGGCUCUCACCCUGAUUUCCCUGAUGACUUCAGCAGACCAGAUGACUUCCAUCCUGACAAGCGCUUUGGCCACCGGUUACGGGAAUUCGAGGGACGAGGAGGACCCUUACCACAAGAAGAAAAGUGGAGGCGAGGGGGCCCUGGACCUCCCUUUCCACCUGAUCACAGGGAGUUCAAUGAGGGGGACGGCCGGGGUGCAGCCCGAGGCCCUCCAGGGGCAUGGGAAGGCCGCAGACCUGGAGACGAACGAUUCCCCCGGGAUCCUGAUGACCCACGAUUUCGAGGGCGCAGAGAAGAAAGCUUUAGAAGAGGUGCUCCCCCAAGACACGAAGGCCGUGCUCCUCCA